ACACCUCAACUCUCAUGGUUUGCCGUGAUGAGCUUGGACUUUGGGGGUCUUGCUGGCCUUUGGUCGGCUCCUCUCAAACGGAUCAGCUUUCCAGUGUUUGGUGGCGUCAUGGGUGUGAUAACUAUCUACGCCUGUGGUUUUCUGCCAGAUAACCUUCAGUGAUGGAGGUUCGCUGGGGCUCAUAAAUGUCUCUCUUCAGUGGAGACAGCUUUUGGAC
rnacentral:misc_RNA from 1 species